rnacentral:rRNA from 1 species
GUAACGGCGAGUGAAGCAGCCAAAGCUCAAAUUUGAAAGCUCCUAACAAGGCGCAUUGUAAUUUGAAGAUGGUAUUCCGAGUUAGUCCUUUACCUCAGUUCCUUGGAACAGGACGCCAUAGAGGGUGAGAGCCCCGUGUGGUAUUGGUAGCUUUCUCAUGUGGUUUACCUUCGAAGAGUCGAGUUGUUUGGGAAUGCAGCUCUAAGUGGGUGGUAAAUUCCAUCUAAAGCUAAAUAUUGGCGAGAGACCGAUAGCGAACAAGUACUGUGAAGGAAAGAUGAAAAGAACUUUGAAAAGAGAGUGAAAAAGUACGUGAAAUUGUUGAAAGGGAAGGGAAUUGGACUAGACUUGGAUUUCUGUUAUCAGCAGUCUUUCGGGGCUGUGCACUAGCAGUUUUCUAGGCCAGGAUCUGUUUGGAGGCCAGGAUAAAACCCAAAGAAUGUGGCUCUUCGGAGUGUUAUAGCUUUGGUUGAAUACUGGCAUUCUGGACAGAGGACCGCGCUUCGUGCUAGGAUCCUGGCGUAAUAGUCCUAUUCCACCCGUCUUGAA